rnacentral:rRNA from 1 species
UACGUAGGGGGCAAGCGUUGUCCGGAUUUAUUGGGCGUAAAGAGCGUGUAGGCGGCCAAGCAGGCUCCGCUGUGAAAACUCGAGGCUCAACCUCGAGACGUCGGUGGAAACCGUUUGGCUAGAGUCCGGAAGAGGAGAGUGGAAUUCCCGGUGUAGCGGUGAAAUGCGCAGAUAUCGGGAAGAACACCCGUGGCGAAGGCGGCUCUCUGGGACGGUACUGACGCUGAGACGCGAAAGCGUGGGGAGCGAACAGG